ensembl:snRNA
GUGUGACGUGAAAGGCCGAAAAGUCAGCACUCCUUGACAAGGAUGGAAGAGGCCCUGGGGUCUGACAACGCGCAUGCGCAUGCGCUGAAGGCACAGCCGCCCACUGCCUGGCAUCUAACUGUGGCUUAGCGAUUUUUU